AUUGAACGCUGGCGGAAUGCUUUACACAUGCAAGUCGAGCGGCAGUGCGGGGGCAACCCUGGCGGCGAGCGGCGAACGGGUGAGUAACAUAUCGGAACGUACCCAGUACGUGGGGGGAUAACUAUCCGAAAGGAUAGCUAAUACCGCAUACGUCCUGAGGGAGAAAGCGGGGGAUCGCAAGACCUCGCGCGAUUGGAGCGGCCGAUAUCGGAUUAGCUAGUUGGUGGGGUAAAGGCUCACCAAGGCGACGAUCCGUAGCGGGUCUGAGAGGACGACCCGCCACACUGGAACUGAGACACGGUCCAGACUCCUACGGGAGGCAGCAGUCGGGGAAUUUUGGACAAUGGGAGCAACCCUGAUCCAGCCAUUCCGCGUGAGUGAGAAGGCCUCGGUUGUAAGUA
rnacentral:rRNA from 1 species